ACCCAACGUGGUCUCCUUCUGGUUGAUGGAUCAACACUUUAACUUUUUGCUUACUUAGUUCUAAAAUGCCUUGGGAUUCUCUAAAUCUUUCUUCGAGCACCUAUUCUAUGAUUUUGGUGAGGACUUCAACUAGCCUUCGUCUAUGAGGAGCUUUGUGAUAACUCACCAGACACCUACAACCCCAACAAAUACAAAAACAUCUACUUACUGGCACUGAGCAUGAAGUACAUCCACCAUUUCCUCACCUACUCCUUCUCUAG
rnacentral:lncRNA from 1 species